rnacentral:rRNA from 1 species
GAUCGGCCCAUGUCCUAUCAGGUAGUUGGCAGGGUAACGGCCUACCAAGCCUACGACGGGUAGGGGGCGUGAGAGCGUGACCCCCCUCAUCGGGACUGAGACACUGCCCGGACACCUACGGGUGGCUGCAGUAACGAAUCUUGGGCAAUGGGCGCAAGCCUGACCCAGCAAUGCCGCGUGCAGGAGGAAGCCCUUCGGGGUGUAAACUGCUGUCAGGAGUCAGCAAGCAAAGGGCGUGAAUAGCGUCCGGCGCGGAGCAGCUCCAGAGGAAGCCUCGACUAACUCUGUGCCAGCAGUCGCGGUAAGACAGAGGAGGCAAGCGUUGUUCGGAAUUAUUGGGCUUAAAGCGGGUGUAGGCGGCUGCGAAAGUGUGGUGUGAAAGCCCACGGCUUAACCGUGGAACGGCACCGCAUACUACGUAGCUUGAGGCCGGUAGAGGUGCCUGGAACUCUCGGUGGAGCGGUGAAAUGCGUAGAUAUCGAGAGGAACGCCAGAGGCGAAAGCGGGGCACUGGGCCGGUACUGACGCUGAGACCCGAAAGCGUGGGGAGCAAACAGGAUUAGAUACCCUGGUAGUCCACGCUGUAAA